AGAGUUUGAUCCUGGCUCAGGAUGAACGCUGGCGGUAUGCUUUACACAUGCAAGUCAUACGGAAGUUAGUCUCGACUAACUUCAGUGGCGGACGGGUGAGUAACACGUGAGAAUUCGCCUUUAGGAGGGGGAUAACAGGGGGAAACACCUGCUAAAACCCCAUAUGCCUUCGGGUCAAAAGAGUAAUCUGCCUAAAGAGAAGCUCGCGGCUGAUUAGCUAGUUGGUGGGGUAAAGGCCUACCAAGGCGACGAUCAGUAGCUGGUCUGAGAGGACGAUCAGCCACACUGGAACUGAGACACGGUCCAGACUCCUACGGGAGGCAGCAGUGAGGAAUUUUCUGCAAUGGGCGAAAGCCUGACAGAGCAAUACCGCGUGAGGGAAGAAGGCUUACUGAGUUGUAAACCUCUGUUACCUAAGGAGGAAGAUCUGACGUUACUUAGGAGACGAAGCAUCGGCUAACUCCGUGCCAGCAGCCGCGGUAAGACGGAGGAUGCAAGUGUUAUCCGGAAUCACUGGGCGUAAAGCGUCUGCAGGUGGUUUCUUAAGUCCACUGUUAAACCUUGAGGCUCAACCUCAAUUCAGCAUUGGAAACUGGGAAACUUGAGUAUAGUAGGGGUAGAGGGAAUUUCCAGUGGAGCGGUGAAAUGCGUAGAUAUUGGAAAGAACACCGAUGGCGAAGGCACUCUACUGGGCUAUUACUGACACUCAGAGACGAAAGCUAGGGGAGCAAAUGGGAUUAGAUACCCCAGUAGUCCUAGCCGUAAACGAUGGAUACUCGAUGUUGGGCGUAUCGACCCGU
rnacentral:rRNA from 1 species